rnacentral:rRNA from 1 species
GACGAACGCUGGCGGCGUGCCUAAUACAUGCAAGUCGAACGAGUGGCGGACGGGUGAGUAACACGUGGGAACCUACCCAUCAGAGGGGGAUAACUACUGGAAACGGUAGCUAAUACCGCAUACCAUCAGAUGAACCCAUAUGGGCUUAGCUUGUAGGUGAGGUAACGGCUCAUCUAGGCGACGAUCCCUAGCUGGUCUGAGAGGAUGAUCAGCCACACGGGGACUGUGACACUGCCCAGACUCCUACGGAAGCGAUCAGGGGGGAAUAUUGGACAAUGGGCACAAGCCUGAGGCAGCCAAGCCGCGUGUAGGAAGAAGGCCUUCGGGUUGUAAAGUACAUUCAGUCGGGAGGCGUUACCGACAGAAGAAGCACCGGCUAACUGCGUGCCAGCCGGCGCGGUAAUAC